UACGAAGGGGGCUAGCGUUGCUCGGAAUCACUGGGCGUAAAGCGUGCGCAGGCGGUUGUGCAAGACAGAUGUGAAAUCCCCGGGCUCAACCUGGGAACUGCAUUUGUGACUGCACGGCUGGAGUGCGGCAGAGGGGGAUGGAAUUCCGCGUGUAGCAGUGAAAUGCGUAGAUAUGCGGAGGAACACCGAUGGCGAAGGCAAUCCCCUGGGCCUGCACUGACGCUCAUGCACGAAAGCGUGGGGAGCAAACAGG
rnacentral:rRNA from 1 species